UCUCAUUAGUUCAUGCUCCCGCAAUCCCAGGUGUCUCAUUGACACCUUUAACUCUCUUCUUCACCCUGCUGUGGCCACCCCCCAAACUAACCUCACAGCCGACAGCUUUGCAUGCUACUUUACCGACAAGAUUGAACAGCUAAGGAAAUAAUUCUCCCCACCUUGCGGUUCUCUUUCUCAACCACACGUAGAUCAUGCCUUUCCUAGCCUUCAGACUUUCUCCCCGACUACUAAAGAGGUGGCUGCACUUACC